UCGUACAAGGUUUCCGUAGGUGAACCUGCGGAAGGAUCAUUGAAUUAUCAAACCCACACUGUGAACCCUGCCGUUCCACGCUUUUGCUUGGCAGCGCGGCGCCCUGCGCUGGCGGGCUCUGGGAUUGGCACCCCUACCGGGUGCCUUCCUGGGGUUAUCUGCCCAAUUGCGUGCUUUUUUUCCAACACACCCAGUGUAACCACUGAGUUGUGAGGUGGCUUGUCCACUCCACAGCCAAACCAACCUCUGAAGCAAAGGCAGCCACACGCUGGCUUGCCACAAACGAAAACAACUCUCAACAACGGAUAUCUUGGCUCUCGCAACGAUGAAGAACGCAGCGAAAUGCGAUACGUAGUGUGAAUUGCAGAAUUCCGUGAACCAUCGAAUCUUUGAACGCAUAUUGCGCUCGAGCCUUCGGGCAAGAGCAUGUCUGCCUCAGCGUCGGUUUAACCCCUCACACCCCUUUAUUUAUUUAAAGCGCCAGGCUGAAUUCAGCCUGCGGGUGUGGACUUGGCUUCCCCAGGCCUGGACCUCGUGUCUCAGGCCUGGGUUGGCUGAAGUGCAGAGGCUUGAGCAAGGACCCUGAAUGGGCAUCAACUGGAUAGGUAGCCUCGCUGCUCCGGCAGUGUUCUACACGAAGUUGUUGCUUGCGGACCUUGCUGGGGGCCAGCAGGAAGCGUGGGUAACACCACGCCACUUAAACUUUCGACCUGAGCUCAGGCAAGACUACGGACUGAACUUAAGCAUAUCAUAAGCCGGAAGAAA
rnacentral:rRNA from 1 species